ensembl:lncRNA
GUGAGGAGCUCCUGGAGUCAGAGGGCAACUUGCCCAAGUCAGUUCUCUUAUUCUACCAUGUAAGUUCCAAGUCAACGCCUGAUAAUACAUAAAUAAAUAAGUACUUUUAUUCACUAUGCCAUCCUUGUGGUUUGAGACUGCAAGGUUUUUAAAUGUUAAAUCAGAAUCUAGGGAGAUGGUUCUUUGGGUAAAAUGAAUGCUAAGUAACCAUGAAUUUGAAUCUCCAGAACCCACAUGAAGAGCAACACUUGACAGGUGGUAAUGGUGCACACCUUUAAUCCCAGCACUCAGGAGGCAGAGAUUAAAGACCUAUGCUACCAAGCCCAGUGAUUAACCUGAAUGCUGUGAAAAUGACUAGUUUUUAACCACAGCCUUGAUUUGUGUUAAGUAGUUAGCAGUUCUACUUGCCACCAGUGCAAAUUCAACACAGCAAUAAGUCAAAUAAAAUAUGCGUAUGUUACGAGUAACUUUAACCCAGGAACUUCUAAGAGUUUAUGGGUUACACUUUAAUAUUCGAAGGCAAGGGUAAGCACUGAUCAAUCCCAGGGCUCCAAUCACCAUCAAAAUGCUAAUAACUCCCAAAGGUCUCCAUAUCUUCUAGAGCCUCAGUCAUAAAAACAAGUCACUGAUUCAACAAGUAUUUACUGUGAACCUUUUCAGGGAAUAGAUGCUUCAGAAAAGCUGAGUAUCUUUCCUCAUGAAGCUGAGAACUAGUGGGAAGCUCAACAUUACUCGUUGAAACCUGAGGUCCAGGAAUGCCUUGUGAAGAGAGGAUCCUAAAUGGAAAGAAUGAGCUCUGUAAACACACUUGGGAGGGUCUUCACAGUACAAGAGAAUGCAGUAGCCACCAUCCCAGCAUGCACAAACCAAAACCAUGAUGUGCCCUUCCAGGCACCCAGGACAGAACCUAGACUAGUACCCUACCCCCACAAACCCCAGGACUGCUUCUUGAUCACCAGCCUUCCUCAUCUUCUCCAUCUGUACCUGCUGAAACCCCAGCCAGCCUGCUCCCAGCCUGCUCCCUCCCUCUGAGAAUGCUGCAGGCUUAAGAGUGGUCCCAUCUAGUCAGCCUUCUCAAACCCUUCAAAGGUCUGUUGAAACCCUCUAGAUGGAAGUUCACAUUUUUCUCCAAGACUCUGAUCUUUCUUUAUCUACUUCUCCCUGGAGUAACUUCUAGUCACAGAUAAGCAAUUACUGAGUGUUUAUUAUGUGCUAGACACUGCUCCAGUGCUGAAGACAAGGUGGAUAAUGGAGUCCAGCUGCUGUUUGUUUUAUGAAAACUAUACCACCUCCUCUCCUCUCCCCAUCUUAUUUCAGAGACCUCACUAAGUUCUCGAACUGGUUAGGUUUCCUAGAGAACCCCUGACCUCCAUUGUUCCUGCUUAUCAGGCUCCCACACUUUGUCCUCAGGACCCAGGGUGCUGAAUAUGCAUUUUAAAUAUUAAAUAUGCCAGGCAUGCUGGUGCACACCUUUAAUCCCAGCACUCGGGAGGCAGAGGCAAGUGAUCUCUGAGUUUGAGGUCAGCCUGGUCUACAGAGUGAGUCCCAGGACUACACUGAGAAGUCCUGUCUUAAAAACAGUCCAUCCCCCCACAAAAGAAGACAAAUCACUAAAUACUGUUAUUGUUGUCAAGUCUUUAAAAAAGAAAAGGCAACUAUGCUCUAUAAAAGAGAAAGUUUUCCUGUCACUGGAAGCCAGCAGUAGCAUCAGGGGAUCGGCAGGGCUCCCUAAAGCCAGUACUGCACAAGGAGGUUAAAGAGCGGUCAGCAGUCCUCUUACCCAGUGACCAACUCCAACACCUACAGAGUCUGCAUUUCUGAAAUGAGUUAUGCAACAAAAUUCAAGCUUUAAAAUUCUUGUUGCAGAACAGUUACUAUGUCCUCUCUUCACAUAUACAGACAGAUACAAUGUCAUAAGACCAUUUUCCCAUCACUAUUAAACAUUUUAGCUUUGUAAUCACUGUUUUAAUUUAAAUGUUUGUUCUUUUCUCCUCUUGUUCAAUG